rnacentral:rRNA from 1 species
AGAGUUUGAUCCUGGCUCAGGAUGAACGCUGGCGGCGUGCUUAACACAUGCAAGUCGAACGAAGCACUUUAUUUGAUUUCCUUCGGGACUGAUUAUUUUGUGACUGAGUGGCGGACGGGUGAGUAACGCGUGGGUAACCUGCCUUGUACAGGGGGAUAACAGUUGGAAACGGCUGCUAAUACCGCAUAAGCGCACGGCAUCGCAUGAUGCAGUGUGAAAAACUCCGGUGGUAUAAGAUGGACCCGCGUUGGAUUAGCUAGUUGGUGAGGUAACGGCCCACCAAGGCGACGAUCCAUAGCCGACCUGAGAGGGUGACCGGCCACAUUGGGACUGAGACACGGCCCAAACUCCUACGGGAGGCAGCAGUGGGGAAUCUUCCGCAAUGGACGAAAGUCUGACGGAGCAACGCCGCGUGAGUGAUGAAGGAUUUCGGUCUGUAAAGCUCUGUUGUUUAUGACGAACGUGCAGUGUGUGAACAAUGCAUUGCAAUGACGGUAGUAAACGAGGAAGCCACGGCUAACUACGUGCCAGCAGCCGCGGUAAUACGUAGGUGGCGAGCGUUAUCCGGAAUUAUUGGGCGUAAAGAGGGAGCAGGCGGCACUAAGGGUCUGUGGUGAAAGAUCGAAGCUUAACUUCGGUAAGCCAUGGAAACCGUAGAGCUAGAGUGUGUGAGAGGAUCGUGGAAUUCCAUGUGUAGCGGUGAAAUGCGUAGAUAUAUGGAGGAACACCAGUGGCGAAGGCGACGAUCUGGCGCAUAACUGACGCUCAGUCCCGAAAGCGUGGGGAGCAAAUAGGAUUAGAUACCCUAGUAGUCCACGCCGUAAACGAUGAGUACUAAGUGUUGGGGUUACCCAGUGCUGAAGCUAACGUAUUAAGUACUCCGCCUGAGUAGUACGGUCGCAAGGCUGAAACUCAAAGGAAUUGACGGGGACCCGCACAAGCGGUGGAGCAUGCUGUUUAAUUCGAAGAUACGCGAAGAACCUUACCUAGACUUGACAUCCCUGGCAAAGCUAUAGAAAUAUAGUGGAGGUUACCCAGGUGACAGGUGGUGCAUGGUUGUCGUCAGCUCGUGUCGUGAGAUGUUCGGUUAAGUCCGCUAACGAGCGCAACCCUUAUCCUUAGUUGCUAACAUUAAGUUGAGAACCCUAAGGAGACUGCCGGUGACAAACCGGAGGAAGGUGGGGAUGACGUCAAAUCAUCAUGCCCCUUACGUCUAGGGCUACAGGCGUGCUAUAAUGGCCGAUACAAUAAGAAGCAAUACUGUGAAGUGGAGCAAAUCUGUAAAGUCGGUCUCAGUUCGGAUUGAAGUCUGCAACUCGACUUCAUGAAGCUAGAAUCGCUAGUAAUCCCAAAUCAGAAUGUUGGGGUGAAUACGUUCCCGGGUGUUGUACACACCGCCCGUCAUGCCAUGAAAGUUUGUAAUACCCGAAUGUGGUAGCCUAACCUUUUAGGAGGGGGCCAUUUAAGGUAGGACAAGUGAUUGGGGUAAAGUCGUAACAAGGUAUCCCUACGAGAACGUGGGGAUG